AAAAGUAAGAAAAACACAUUUCAUUCUUUAUGCUCACCUAUCAUUGUGUUUUUAUUUAUGCAUUUAUUUGAGAAUAUGAUCUUCUAAUAUGUUCUUUUACAGCUUUUUCACUGUGACUGAAAAGUGUUUCAGCCCCACAGGAAGGAAACAAAAGUGGGUUAUUCUAGCAGAACAUUUUCAUCCCAUCUCAGUCCAGUUGAGGGAUGUGGGAGCUCAGUACCUCUCACCAGGGUGCCUCUUCAUGUCUUCGUCCAGAUGAGGUGUAGCGCCCCAUCACUCACCCUUUUUCUUUGCAAAUGUGUGAACCUGCACAGCUGUCUUGCUGUUUCCUCUCUCAUCAACAUCUCCUUCUAACAUUCAAGGAACAGCAAGAAGAAUAGUCCCUCCCUCUCUCUAAUACCAACUGAUGAAGAAGUAUCUCUCUGUCACACCAUUGUCAUGAGGAACACAAUUCAGCUUCCAUAUUGGGACAGGCAUGCAGCCUGUUCUGAAGAAAGCUGACCAAAACUGAGGACUUAACUAGAGACAUUUAAAGUAACUACAAG